rnacentral:snoRNA from 7 species
ACAUUUCGAUGGUUGCGUAGUUCAUCAGAUUGGGUCAAAUGGGUGUAUCUGGUGUCU